rnacentral:rRNA from 1 species
GACGAACGCUGGCGGCGUGCUUAACACAUGCCAGUCGAACGGAAAGGCCCUGCUUUUGUGGGGUGCUCGAGUGGCGAACGGGUGAGUAACACGUGAGUAACCUGCCCUUGACUUUGGGAUAACUUCAGGAAACUGGGGCUAAUACCGGAUAGGAGCUCCUGCUGCAUGGUGGGGGUUGGAAAGUUUCGGCGGUUGGGGAUGGACUCGCGGCUUAUCAGCUUGUUGGUGGGGUAGUGGCUUACCAAGGCUUUGACGGGUUGCCGGCCUGAGAGGGUGACCGGCCACAUUGGGACUGAGAUACGGCCCAGACUCCUACGGGAGGCAGCAGUGGGGAAUAUUGCACAAUGGGCGGAAGCCUGAUGCAGCAACGCCGCGUGCGGGAUGACGGCCUUCGGGUUGUAAACCGCUUUCGCCUGUGACGAAGCGUGAGUGACGGUAAUGGGUAAAGAAGCACCGGCUAACUACGUG